UACAGAGGUCUCAAGCGUUGUUCGGAUUCAUUGGGCGUAAAGGGCGCGUAGGCGGCGGGGUAAGUCGGGUGUGAAAUCUCAGAGCUCAACUCUGAAAUGGCACUUGAUACUGCUCUGCUAGAGGACUGGAGAGGAGAUUGGAAUUCACGGUGUAGCAGUGAAAUGCGUAGAUAUCGUGAGGAAGACCGGUGGCGAAGGCGGAUCUCUGGACAGUCCCGUGACGCUGAGGCGCGAAGGCCAGGGGAGCAAACGGG
rnacentral:rRNA from 1 species